AGUGUAACAUCCGUCUCCUCUUCUCUCGAGAACGAUGUAUUACUUCCGGUAAAAUUCCAAAUUAAACUGAGUUAUUCAAAACUGAAUAAAAUACCAAAACAUUUGAUAAAGUAACUCCGAAAUAAAUACAUCUUUAAAUUGAAUUAUAAAAAUAGGUCAAAUAAAUCGAAUGUAAAACCGGAAUAAAAUAUGUGAUCUCCAAGACACCAAACCGUCCAGAUAUCUAACUACUCAUCAAACUCACCUGCAAGGGAAGAAAGAGGGGUGAGCAACAAGGGAGUUAUUCCGUGAGGUAUGAGAUGCUAAACACGCAAAUCACAGACUUGAGUAAAUAGAACUCCCACUAUAGAAAUUUAUCUCUAACAUGAACACACACGACGCCUAUCGCGUCAUACAAACACAAACAAUACGAUGAUAGCAUAUAGCUAGUCCAUACACCUCACAUCUCCUCCUACGGAUAUAUAAAUAUGUAGCAUCGGUAGUACAGUCUUUCUCUGUACCCCCGCCCUCUCAAGUAGCGUCGAUGGUACAAACGUCUCUGCAAGCGUCGUUAGCCAAAACGUCUCUGAACCCCCGCCCGCACAAUCAAAAUAGCGUCGCUAGUCCAAACAUCUCUAAGCUCCUGCCCGCGCACAUAGUUCCUACUCAUAACUAUCUAUACUCAUAUGUAUAUAUAUCAUCAUUUAACAUCAUACCAUCCAAUCAACGGUUGAAUCCUCUAUACCCCUAGUUCCAGUUUACAAUGAAUGAACUAAUUACCAUUCAGGACUCAACAUACUCAAUUCAAACAGAUGAAUCAUGAUUCGAAAUCUAAAAUAACAUAGAGAAAAUUCUACACUGGUACGGGAUUUACGGAAUACACCAUCACCUUAGCCAAUAAGAAGAAUCAGAAACAGAUUGGAAAACAAACGUGUUGACUUGAUGACUAAGGUAAAUUAGGGUUUCGCCAUGGAUCUCAACUUCUCGCAACAACCCACCAGAUCGGAAAAUAACAGAGACAACACAAAACAAACACGAUUAAUGAAUUAAUUAAUCUAGGGUUUAAGGGAUGAUUACUUGUCG
rnacentral:lncRNA from 1 species